rnacentral:rRNA from 1 species
UGAACGCUGGCGGCAUGCCUUACACAUGCAAGUCGAACGGCAGCACGGGUGCUUGCACCUGGUGGCGAGUGGCGAACGGGUGAGUAAUACAUCGGAACAUGUCCUGUAGUGGGGGAUAGCCCGGCGAAAGCCGGAUUAAUACCGCAUACGAUCUACGGAUGAAAGCGGGGGACCUUCGGGCCUCGCGCUAUAGGGUUGGCCGAUGGCUGAUUAGCUAGUUGGUGGGGUAAAGGCCUACCAAGGCGACGAUCAGUAGCUGGUCUGAGAGGACGACCAGCCACACUGGGACUGAGACACGGCCCAGACUCCUACGGGAGGCAGCAGUGGGGAAUUUUGGACAAUGGGCGAAAGCCUGAUCCAGCAAUGCCGCGUGUGUGAAGAAGGCCUUCGGGUUGUAAAGCACUUUUGUCCGGAAAGAAAUCCUUGGCUCUAAUACAGUCGGGGGAUGACGGUACCGGAAGAAUAAGCACCGGCUAACUACGUG